CAGUCGCCGCGGUAAUACAGAGGGUGCGAGCGUUAAUCGGAUUUACUGGGCGUAAAGCGUGCGUAGGGGGCUUCUUAAGUCGGAUGUGAAAUCCCUGAGCUUAACUUAGGAAUUGCAUUCGAUACUGGGAAGCUAGAGUAUGGGAGAGGAUGGUAGAAUUCCAGGUGUAGCGGUGAAAUGCGUAGAGAUCUGGAGGAAUACCGAUGGCGAAGGCAGCCAUCUGGCCUAAUACUGACGCUGAGGUACGAAAGCAUGGGGAGCAAACAGGAUUAGAUACCCCGGUAGUCCCUGUCUCUUAUAA
rnacentral:rRNA from 1 species